UACAGAGGGUGCGAGCGUUAAUCGGAAUUACUGGGCGUAAAGCGUGCGUAGACGGCUAUCUAAGUCGGGUGUGAAAGCCCCGGGCUCAACCUGGGAAUUGCAUUCGAGACUGAAUAGCUAGGGUACGGUAGAGGGAAGCGGAAUUUCCGGUGUAGCGGUGAAAUGCGUAGAUAUCGGAAGGAACAUCAGUGGCGAAAGCGGCUUCCUGGACCAGUACCGACGUUCAGGCACGAAAGCGUGGGUAGCAAACAGG
rnacentral:rRNA from 1 species